rnacentral:tRNA from 1 species
AAGUUAGUUAAAAUAUAAUAUAAGGUUGUCAACCUUAAGUUGUAAUUAUACACUUU